UGGGGAAUUUUGGACAAUGGGCGCAAGCCUGAUCCAGCAAUGCCGCGUGAGUGAAGAAGGCCUUCGGGUUGUAAAGCUCUUUUGUCAGGGAAGAAACGGGACCGGUUAAUACCUGGUCCUAAUGACGGUACCUGAAGAAUAAGCACCGGCUAACUACGUGCCAGCAGCCGCGGUAAUACGUAGGGUGCAAGCGUUAAUCGGAAUUACUGGGCGUAAAGCGUGCGCAGGCGGUUUUGUAAGUCUGUCGUGAAAGCCCCGGGCUUAACCUGGGAAUUGCGAUGGAGACUGCAAGGCUUGAAUCUGGCAGAGGGGGGUAGAAUUCCACGUGUAGCAGUGAAAUGCGUAGAGAUGUGGAGGAACACCGAUGGCGAAGGCAGCCCCCUGGGUCAAGAUUGACGCUCAUGCACGAAAGCGUGGGGAGCAAACA
rnacentral:rRNA from 1 species